UACAGAGGUCUCAAGCGUUGUUCGGAUUCAUUGGGCGUAAAGGGUGCGUAGGUGGCGCUGUAAGUCGGGUGUGAAAUUUCGGAGCUUAACUCCGAAACUGCAUUCGAUACUGCGGUGUUUGAGGACUGGAGAGGAGACUGGAAUUCAUGGUGUAGCAGUGAAAUGCGUAGAGAUCAUGAGGAAGACCAGUGGCGAAGGCGGGUCUCUGGACAGUUCCUGACACUGAGGCACGAAGGCCAGGGGAGCAAACGGG
rnacentral:rRNA from 1 species